GCCGCCUCCACUCCCCCACCCCCAGAGAACCCUAAUCCACACCCUCUCAAGCCAGCCAUGGCGGAGCGCGGCGGCGAGCGUGGCGGCGAGCGCGGCGGGUUCGGCCGCGGCUUCGGGCGCGGCGGUCGCGGCGACCGCGGAGGGCGCCGUGGCGGGCGCCGCGGCCCGCGCCAGGAGGAGGAGAAGUGGGUGCCCGUCACCAAGCUCGGCCGCCUCGUGAAGGAAGGCAGGUUCUCCAAGAUCGAGGAGAUCUACCUCCACUCCCUCCCCGUCAAGGAGCACCAGAUCGUGGAGACCCUCGUGCCGGGGCUCAAGGACGAGGUGAUGAAGAUCAUGCCGGUCCAGAAGCAGACCCGCGCCGGUCAGCGCACCAGGUUCAAGGCCUUUGUUGUCGUCGGCGACAACAACGGUCAUGUCGGGCUUGGGGUCAAGUGCUCUAAAGAGGUGGCUACUGCGAUCCGUGGAGCUAUUAUUCUUGCGAAGCUGUCGGUUGUUCCGGUGCGUAGGGGAUAUUGGGGGAAUAAGAUUGGGAAGCCCCAUA
rnacentral:misc_RNA from 1 species